GGUGAUACAGGACACCAGUGAAGUCAGUGUCAGUGAAGGAGGGAGAUUCUGUCACUCUACAGAAUCAUAGUCACUGAAUACAGACAGAUGAUAAGAUUGAGUGGGACAUUUUAAAUAACAGGAAUCUUGUAGUUAAAAUUAAUGGAAAGACCAGUAAGAUAUAUGAUGGUCCUGAAGGGAGAUUCAGAGACAGACUGAAUCUUGGAUCAUCAGACUGGAUCUCUGAUCAUCACAGACACCAGAACCACAGACUCUGGACUUUAUGAAGUGACGAUCAGCAGCAGCAGAACAGAGACCAAAUACAGAUUCAAUGUUACUGUCUAUGAUUGUACAUUCUGUUGUCAUCUUCCUGAAGCUGUGACUCGAUUGGGCAUCUCUGUUCUGGUGGGCGGGGCUACAGCUUUUAUUUGGGGGUUGACAUCACAUCCAGAAAAGGUGAACAGGAAAGAGCGGAACAGACAUCAUCAUCAUCAUCAUCAUCAUCAGAACCUCACAGAUGAAUAAAGUAUUCAUUCUCCAUUUAGCCAGACCAAAUUCAAACAACAAAAAUAUGGCCUUAUAGAUUAAAGCCCAGUGCUUUUAAUGAUUAAUAUAUUUCCUCAUAAUGAUUUUUUUUUUUUAAUAGGUAAGGGAAUUAAUUGUUGUGUGGACCUCUCUUUAAGUUUCAUGACUGUCAGUGUAAAUUUACAUAAAAAGAAUAUCAUGCCGAUCCACUUAUAUAGAUGGCAGUCUAGCACCUAAACACCACUGUGGUAUCUGUACUUAAAGUGCACAAAGAACAAUCGCUAAUAUUAGCAUUUUUUUUAUUAUUAUUAAUCAGUAAUACAGUUGCUUAACCAAUAAGACAAUAUUCAGCUAUGCCCUGUUCCUCCCUGCUGAAAAAUAAGCUAAAACCGGCCUAAGUUGAUUUAAGCUAGAAGUAGCUAGUUUAGCUGGUAUGCCAACCUGGCUGAGCUGGUCUCCCAGCCAGACUGGCUAAAGAAGUGGUCAAAACCCAUCUAAAACCAGCCUGCAACCCAGCUAUGACCAACUAAAACCAAAACAAUUAUUCUAAAGUAGCAACAUAGUUUCUGUAUCUCAUUAGUGCCACCUGCUGGAUCAGUCUCAAUCUACUGAAUGUUAACAGUGUGCUGUAAUCUGUACAUGGAAAUACAGUAGCAAAUCUGGGGGUUUUUAUAUUGAGGUGGCAGUAUUCCUGUUUUUUAAAUAAUGUAGCUUCUCUGUAUUUACACUUUUUUUCAGUAUUGAGGUAUUGUUGUCCCAAGUUUUCUGUUUGUCUGUAUCCCAUUCAACUUUAACAAAGUUGUUACAAUUGUCAUUAUUUCCACAGAUAUUUAAAAUAGUUUUGGAAAUAAAUAAGUGUUCAGUGGCCAGUGUUUUUGUGUAUUUCUGGCUGUUUUGAUAAAUAAAUGUUUCUAAACAGCA